rnacentral:rRNA from 1 species
UACAGAGGGUGCAAGCGUUAAUCGGAAUUACUGGGCGUAAAGCGUGCGUAGACGGUUAUGUAAGUCAGGUGUGAAAGCCCCGGGCUCAACCUGGGAAUGGCAUUUGAGACUGCAUAGCUAGGGUGCGGAAGAGGGAAGCGGAAUUUCCGGUGUAGCGGUGAAAUGCGUAGAUAUCGGAAGGAACAUCAGUGGCGGAAAGCGGCUUCCUGGUCCAGCACCGACGUCAGGCACGAAAGCGUGGGGAGCAAACAGG